rnacentral:snoRNA from 1 species
AUCCCAUGGGGCGGAUAGGCAGUGACAUACUCUUGCAUUCUCCCCCAAGCAUCGGGAAUGGAUUCCUCAGCUUGUUGUGUAAAACUAGAUAUUUUAUUGCGAAGAGC